GAAAGAGAAUACAUUGGUUGAGAACAUACCAUGUGCCAGGUACUCAGCUAAGCAGAGUAGAUACAUAUAUCCAUUAUUGUGUUCAUAACUAUGUGUUGCUCUCUCAAGGCACUGGUCUUGUUAAGCAUAGGGAAAAAACAAGAUUAAUUGUGUUUACAAUAAAAUACAUGAAUAAAUAAAUAAAAUAUUUGAAAGUUUUGAGGCAAGAAGGGUGACCCCCACUAUAUUCCCAUUUACUAGGACAAAGUUAAGGGGUAAAUAAGUGGGGUUCCACAUGAUCAAUACAUUCCAACAUCCCUGUCUCCCUAAAUCAUUGGAUUCCUUCCUCUACAUUAUACCAAAGAAUUACCAUUGUUGCUGAUGAGAAAUCUGCUGUACUUUUUUGUCUAUUCCAUAACUUUUAGAAAUUUUUAUUAUUUUUAAUGUUUUAUAGUUUAUCUAUAAUGUGGAGUUUACAAAUCUAUCAUUUAACACUUGAUGAGCUUUAUGAAACUAGAUACUAAUUUUUUUCUUCAGUUCUAGAAACAUUUCCAACAUUCUAUCUUCAAU
rnacentral:lncRNA from 10 species